GGGCAUUGCUGAGCUUGUGAACCAUCCUGAGAUCCAGCAGAAACUCCGCAACGAAAUCGACACCGUCCUAGGACCCGGCGUGCAGGUUACCGAACCCGACACCCAUAAGCUUCCAUAUCUGCAGGCAGUGAUCAAGGAGACUCUCAGGCUCCGAAUGGCCAUCCCUCUACUAGUCCCACACAUGAACCUCCAUGAUGCAAAGCUUGGUGGGUAUGACAUCCCUGCAGAGAGUAAGAUCC
rnacentral:lncRNA from 1 species